rnacentral:lncRNA from 1 species
CCGCCCUGAGCCGACUGAGGCGACAUCUAAUUGCCUGAAGUGCCUUGCACAAACCUUCAUGCCUUUAGAAAUAUUUCUUCAUGUUGAAGAGCAGGUUUUGGAUGUGCCAAGAGAUUUAACCAGAAGGAGUGGCAGCGUCCCCAUUGGAGAGCUGUGGCCACUGGAGAGCCGUGUGGGCAGCACUGACCAGCUCCAGAUUGCAGAAUGCCUUGACCACCAGCCAGGAUGCUGAUGUCAUGGCUAAGUGGUGAAGGAUGCUAGUGGCUUUUAAGCAGAGCGCUGACCGCAGCCUGCCAGGUGGCCCCUGUGUCCAGGAAGAUUUGCCCAGAGCCUCCUCUCCUGCAGACACCCAGAUGUCCAGCGUGCACAGCUCUUUGCUUCAGCCCUUCAUUGGGCCAACGGCAGCAAAUCACCAAGC